rnacentral:lncRNA from 1 species
AGGAUCAGCAUGACUGUAGUGUUCCUGGCUUAACCCUGAGAGGUUGCUGUUCCCAGUGACUAUCUAGGCUGAAGCCCAUGUAGGAUUUGAAGAGACUGAUCCAGGCUUUAUGAGUGGCUGCGACCAUGCUGUAUGUGUGUAUGUGUGUGUGUACACCGCCUAAGUGUGUUCAUUUCAGCCACAGCAAGAGUUAUGUUACAAGGAUAGCAUAGACAGCCCUGCCUAUUGCAAGAGUAAUGCAUCAGGUGUGAAACAGAUCUUUAAUGCUGUGUGAAGCAGGCUCUUUUAAGGUCAGCCAGACUUUCUGGGGAAAAAGAAACUAUUGCCUAACCCUUCAGGUCAUGGAGACUUAUGUUUUUGUGUUUUUCUCGCAGUUUUACAGUUUUAGCACCUACAUUUAAGUCUUUGAUCCCUUUUGUGUUCAUUUUUAUGGAUAGUGAGAAGUAGGGGUUCAAAUCCAUUUUUUUUUUCAUCUAGAUAUUCAGUUGUCCCAGAAUCAUUUGUUGAAAAAGCUCUUCUUUCCCCCAUUGAAUUGUCUUAGCACAUUUUUCAAACAUUACCCAACCACAAAUGUAAGGAUUUAUUUUUGGACACUCAGUUCUAUUUAACUGAUCUAAAUCUCUAUCCUUAUGGAAGUACCACUCUGUCUUGAUUAUUGUAGCUUUGUAGCAAGUUUUAAAAUUGGGAAGUGUGAGUCUUCUCACUUUGUUCUUCUUCUUUCAAAGUUGUAUUUGUUAUUUUGGGCCCUUUGCAUUUCUAUGUGAAUUUUGGGAUCAGCUUGUCCGUUUUUGCAAAAAGAAAAAAAAGGCAGUCAGGAUUUUGAUAGAGAUUGUGUUGAAUCUGUAGACUGAUUUGGGGAAAAUUGCCAUCAUCACAGUAUUAAUUCUUCUGGUCUAUGAAUGCAGGAUUUCUUUCCACUUAUUUAGGUCAUCUUUAAUAUAUCUGAACACUGUUCUGCAGUUUUUAGUGCACAGUUUUGUAUUUCUUUUGUUAAAUUCUCCUAAGUAUAUUUUAUGCUACUGUAAAUGGAAUUGUUUUCUUAUUUUAAUUUUCAGGGGAAAGUAAGAAAAUGGUCGGUCAUCACCUUCAGUCAUCAUCUCAGAUAGUGGGAUCAUGCUUGACUUUCCUUUAAGUUUUCUUUUUAAAACUGCAUUCUUCUUUUUUCCUUUUUUUUUUUUUUUUUGAGUCGCACAGGCUGGAGUUCAUUGCUAGUGUGUAGAAAUACAGUUGAUUUUUGUAUAUUGAUUUUGCACCCUGUAACCUUGCUGAACUCAUUUGUUAGCUUUCUGUGGAUUCUUCAGGAUUUUCUGUACUCAAAUUCAUGUCACCUGUGAAUAGAUGAUUUUACUUCCUUUCCGAUCUGGAUGCCUUUUCUUUCUUUUCCUUGCCUAAUUACCCUGGCCAAACCCUCCAGUGCAAGAUUCAGUAGAAGUCGUGAGAGCAGAUAUGCUUCUCUGGUUCCUGAUGUUGGGGGGAGGCAUUUCAUCUUUUACCUUUAAGGAUGUUUGUUGUGGGUUUUUGCUUGAUGCCUUUUAACUGUAAUCAGGUUGUGGAAAUUCCCUUGUAUUCCCAGUCUGUUGAGUGUUUUUAUCAUGAAAGGGUGUUGGAUUUUGUCAAAUGCUCUUUUCUGCAUCUCUUGAAAUGGUCAUGUGGUUUUUGUUCUUUAUUAAUAUACAGAUAAGUGUAUUACCUUGAUUAAUUUUCAUAUCCAAAGCAGCCUAGCGUUCCUCCUGAGAACUUCCAUGUCUCAAGUACAACUUUCAUUUUACAAUGACCCCCCUUGCUGUUGGGGCCACACCACCUUACAACUUGCCCAGCUCAGGAUGGCAAUUCUGACUGCAUGAUCGCUUGAUAUGUCUUGACCAGAUGCUCGGUUCUGACCAGAGCUCGGUAGCACACCUGGGGUGCUUUGUGGAUGAUGUGUGGUUCUUUGCGGGAGCUUGCAUGGCCUUGUUGUAGAACUCUAAGGGUUUUCAUAGUGACUCUCCUACAGGGGCUUGUCAGAAAGUCCAUAUGGUUCCUUUUUGGACCACAGAUAACUCUAGGGCUGUGAGAUCUGCUAGGUAUUGGGGUGCAGGCAUCGGGGCUGUUUGUACUGCAGCCUGGACUUGCUACAGAAUCCAUUAACUAACUGCUCACCCCAGUCAGAGCCAUCAGCUUUCCGUGUCUCUAGGUAAACAGAUUCAAGCAGUGUGACAAGCAUGGAAUAUGCUGCUUUCCAUAGACCUGUCAAGCAUUGCGUUUUGUUCUUAAUGGUACAAUGUACAAAAUGCAGUGUCUUGUUCUUUAUUUUUGAGAGGAUGCUGUAUCAUGUCUCAGACGACUGGAUUCCUAAAAACUCCCCAAAUGAAGCAGGUCCAAUUAGUAUGGUGUCACCAAUAUAUGGAUCCAUGCGAUUGAUUAUCUGUGGAGUGUCCGGAUGGUCCAGGACCCUUCAGAUUAUAUUACGAUGGAGAACAGGAAAAUUAACCAAAACCUGGGCAAGACUGCGAAUGUGUGCUACUAUCCAUCCCAGGGAAUUAGGAGAACGCUUAUAUGCUACUGCUCUUCAGAGAACAAUUGAAACACCUAUUCAAGUUAGAGACCUACGUACCCUGCAAACCGACUGCUCCAUUCCCAGUUCUGGAGGCCGGAGUUGGAAAUCAGUUUCACUGGGCACACAUGGAGGUGUUUGAAGGGCUGCCCGUGCCAGAGGCUCUCAGGGAGAAUCCCUUCCUUGUCUGUUCCAGCUCUACCUCCUCCUCUGCUGUAUACAAAGACAAAGAAACAGGCAAAGAAACAUCUCUGACAUCAAGAUCAGGAAGUCACAGAGAGUACUUGAGUACACAUUCAGAAGUUUCAAGGAUUUUCUGUUCGUUUAUUAAACCUUAACAUUUGCUGUACAAGUUUUCAACAGGCCAAGGUUAAGUGAAGAAUGAAAAUAAUGUUUAACUCCAUUACAAAAGAGGAGGCUUUUGAUACAGACUUCAUAAUGUUCUUUGAGGAAGCAGGUAUAUGAGGUUUGUACAUUGAAUGGAUGUUCUAGAUUGAGCAAAAUACCCUCUAUGCACUCUCCUGCAGAGAGUGUGGGUGAAAUAGAAAUGUAUUUCUGGAUAGAAAGAGCAAUGUAUCACAUGCAUUCUGAAGAAGUCUAGCUGAGCAAAACCUUAAGAUUUCCUGUUGUUGCUGGACCGUAGACAUCAAUAUGACCGCUUAGCAUAAAGAUAAAGGUACCUCAGGGCCCAAGAAUAAAAAUUCCAUCGAGCACAACUCAGCGCUCUGAAAAUCUAGAUUUCCCUAAUCCCAGAGGGUGAGAGCCAAGGAGGAGCUCGUCCUGCCCAUUCCUGCCUUCCUCUAUCCCUGGCACUCACACCACAAGUUUGCUCUACUCUUAAACAAAAGCACCUGUGUUUUAAAAUUUUCAUUUUAAGUUCUGGGGUACAUGUGUAGGACAUGCAGGUUUGUUACAUAGGUAAACUUGUGCCAUGGUGGUUUGCUGCACCCAUCAACCCAUCACCUAGGUAUUAAACCGCACAUGCAUUAGCCAUUUGUCCUAAUGCUCUCCCUCCUGCCAACCCCCCACCCCCGACAGGUCCCAGUGUGUGUUGUUCCCCUCCCUGUGUCCAUGUGUUCUUACUGUUCAGCUCCCACUUAUGAGUGAGAACAUGCAGUGUUUGGUUUUCUGUUCCUGUGUUAGUUUGCUGAGGGUGAUGCCUUCCAGCUCCAUCCAUGUUCCUGCAAAGGACAUGAUCUCAUUCUUUUUUAUGGCUGCAUAGUAUUCCAUGGUAUAUAUGCAUCACAUUUUCUUUAUUCAUUCUAUCAUUGAUGGGCAUUUGGGUUGGUUCCAUGUCUUUGCUAUAGUGAAGAGUGCUACAAUGAACAUACACCUAUUUUUUUUUAACCCACAUUAUUUAUAGUCUUGUUUUCAGUAUUUUGGUAGGCAGUGCCUGGUCUGCUCCUCUCCUCCCUUCUCUGAGUUGCCCUUUUCCUCAAUUCUCUUUUACCAACUUUCCUUUUGCGAUCGUCUCUACUCUCCUUUUCUCUAUACUUCCCCUUCUUUUUCUCUUGGCCUCGACUUCUGAAUCCUGUGACAAUGGCGUGGGGGGUUUGGUGGAGAGAGGGGAACUAAAAGUGGAAAUGAGACACUGGGGAAUAAUCACAAGAAAGGAAACAAGACUUCCCAACUCUCCCCGGCUGUGAGCCCCACGACAUGGUUUCCACAUGAGCCUUCUCCCCACUUUUGGCUGCCUCCCUGACACGUUUCCAAGGAGACCUUUCCAAGUCAAGGCCGCAGCUCCCAAAGUAUUGAAGCACAAACCCAGCCCACUUCCAAUAAAUCAUCCUCUACAUACAGUUGUCUGGUUUGUAUCAGAAUGUCCUUGGGAUUCCUGUAAUGCUUGUCUCCAGAGUCACUUAGCCAGCAUUUUGGCUAGUUUUUGUUUUUGUUUUUUUUUUUCUGAUACUCUGGUUGCAUAAAGUUAAACAGGGUUUGCAAAAUGUAAUUUCAUUAUAUGAACAACAAGUUCUAUACACUGAUGAAUAACUUGGUUUUAUGUGGGCACUUAAUUCCCAGUCUAGUGCUAAGUCUUUAUCUUAAUUUUAACUUUUAAGGCAAACAAUGCAAGGCAUCAUCUUUUGAGUGGGAAAGAGGAAAAGCAUUUUAAUGAAUGAGUUCUUGGUUGGGCGCAGUGGCUCACUCCUGUAAUCCCAGCACUUUUGGAGACUGAGGCAGGAGGAUCGCUUGAGCUCGGGAGUUCAAGACCAGCCUGGGAAACAUGGUGAAACCCCGCCUCUACACAAAAAUUAAAAAAUUAGCCGGGGAGGGGGAUUGAUUGUGUGCAUUUGCAGCUGAGCUGCAGUGAGUCCCAGCUACUCGGGAGGCUGAGGGGGGAAGAUUGUUUGAGCCUAGGAGGGUGAGGCUGCAGUGACUUAUGAUCCUGCCACUGCACUCCAGCCUGGGCAAUAGAGUGAGACUCUCCAAAAAAAGAAAAAUAGAAUGAAUAAUGAAUGAGUUCUUGAAAGGAGAGAUGUAGCUGGGCACAGUGGCUCACAUGCUUGUAAUCCCAGCACUUUGGGAGGAUAAAGCAUGUGCAUCACCUGAGGUCAGGCAUGGUGGCGGGUGCCUGUAAUCCCAGCUACUUGGGAGGCUGAGGCAGGAGAAUUGCUUGAACCCAGGAGGCUGAGGUUGCAGUGAGCCGAGAUCACACCACUGCACUCCGGCCUGGGUUACAAGAGUGAAACUCUGCCAAAAAGAAAGAAAGAAAGAGAGAGACAGAGACAGAGAGAGAGAGAAAAGAAGGAAGGAAGGAAGGAAGGAAGGAAGGAAGGAAGGUAGGAAGGAAGGGAGAGAGAGAGAGAAAGAAAGAAAGGAGAGAUGUGAAAAAUAUGUUUAAGAAUUUCUCAUACAUUCAUGUCUGAAAGGAAUCAUUUUAUUCAUCCCUCUUUCAUGGAUGAAGACAUUGAGGCCCAGGUGUGGUAAAAUUUGCCCGAAGUAGCCCGUGAGUCCGUGAGAUGUCCUGCUCCCAUCUGGAGAGGAGGAGACACGCACAGCCGUCUCCACCACAAGCCGGAUUCCAGACACUGAUCCUGCCACCACCACCCCAGUCUUCUGUCUGUCCCUCUCAGCAUGGCAGUCAUGUACCCUGGCACAAUUUCUGUGAAAAUCCCCUAAACCAAGCUUGUCUAACCUGUGACCCACAGGCCGCAUGCAGCCCAGGAUGGCUUUGAAUGCAGCUGAACACACAUUUGUAAACUUUCCUAAAACAUGAAUUUUUUCGCAUUUA